rnacentral:lncRNA from 1 species
GAAUACAUCUGGAAGAUUUUUUUUUUCAUCAAGAAGAAGAUGUCGCAGCCUGCUCCAAAAGUUGCAUAAUAAAGUAAACCAUCAAACAUCAGCUGAUUCAGAUCAUCAAUUUCAAGUACCUGGCUGAGAAAGUCUCACCUUUUAUUUCGGUACACUAACGUGUAAAUAUAAAUAUUGUAAUUAAAUAAAAAAACUAAGUAUAAUUGAUAAAGAAGAAAAGUGUAAUUUGUGACAAUGAUUGAUCACUCGGUUCUUGUAAUCUGUGCCCUGGUCGCUAACACUAUUUGGCUGUUUACCAUGGAUUUUGAUCACGGUCGUCGAGAUAACUUUGGUCCAUAUCCUCGUGGAGGACCACAUAAAAAACCUAAGGAUUCAAUCUUAGCUGGAAACCACUUGAGAUAUUUCUCAUCGAGAGAAUGAAAAUUUUUAUAAAAAUAAUAAUCAAUAAUAAAAACGAA